rnacentral:rRNA from 1 species
CCCGCGCCGUAUUAGCUAGUUGGUGGGGUAACGGCCUACCAAGGCGACGAUACGUAGCCGACCUGAGAGGGUGAUCGGCCACACUGGAACUGAGACACGGUCCAGACUCCUACGGGAGGCAGCAGUAGGGAAUCUUCCGCAAUGGGCGAAAGCCUGACGGAGCAACGCCGCGUGAGUGAUGAAGGUCUUCGGAUCGUAAAGCUCUGUUGUUAGGGAAGAACAAAUGUGUAAGUAACUGUGCACAUCUUGACGGUACCUAACCAGAAAGCCACGGCUAACUACGUGCCAGCAGCCGCGGUAAUACGUAGGUGGCAAGCGUUAUCCGGAAUUAUUGGGCGUAAAGCGCGCGUAGGCGGUUUUUUAAGUCUGAUGUGAAAGCCCACGGCUCAACCGUGGAGGGUCAUUGGAAACUGGAAAACUUGAGUGCAGAAGAGGAAAGUGGAAUUCCAUGUGUAGCGGUGAAAUGCGCAGAGAUAUGGAGGAACACCAGUGGCGAAGGCGGCUUUCUGGUCUGCAACUGACGCUGAUGUGCGAAAGCGUGGGGAUCAAACAGGAUUAGAUACCCUGGUAGUCCACGCCGUAAACGAUGAGUGCUAAGUGUUAGGGGGUUUCCGCCCCUUAGUGCUGCAGCUAACGCAUUAAGCACUCCGCCUGGGGAGUACGGUCGCAAGACUGAAACUCAAAGGAAUUGACGGGGACCCGCACAAGCGGUGGAGCAUGUGGUUUAAUUCGAAGCAACGCGAAGAACCUUACCAAAUCUUGACAUCCUUUGACCGCUCUAGAGAUAGAGUUUUCCUCUUCGGAGGACAAAGUGACAGGUGGUGCAUGGUUGUCGUCAGCUCGUGUCGUGAGAUGUUGGGUUAAGUCCCGCAACGAGCGCAACCCUUGAACUUAGUUGCCAUCAUUCAGUUGGGCACUCUAAGUUGACUGCCGGUGACAAACCGGAGGAAGGUGGGGAUGACGUCAAAUCAUCAUGCCCCUUAUGAUUUGGGCUACACACGUGCUACAAUGGACAAUACAAAGGGCAGCGAAACCGCGAGGUCAAGCAAAUCCCAUAAAGUUGUUCUCAGUUCGGAUUGUAGUCUGCAACUCGACUACAUGAAGCUGGAAUCGCUAGUAAUCGUAGAUCAGCAUGCUACGGUGAAUACGUUCCCGGGUCUUGUACACACCGCCCGUCACACCACGAGAGUUUGUAACACCCGAAGCCGGUGGAGUAACCAUUUUGGAGCUAGCCGUCGAAGGUGGGACAAAUGAUUGGGGUGAAGUCGUAACAAGGUAGCCGUAUCGGAAGGUGCGGCUGGAUCACCUCCUUUCUA